GACGAACGCUGGCGGCGUGCUUAACACAUGCAAGUCGAACGAAGAGCGAUGGAAGCUUGCUUCUAUCAAUCUUAGUGGCGAACGGGUGAGUAACGCGUAAUCAACCUGCCCUUCAGAGGGGGACAACAGUUGGAAACGACUGCUAAUACCGCAUACGAUCUGACCUCGGCAUCGAGGAUGGAUGAAAGGUGGCCUCUAUUUAUAAGCUAUCACUGAAGGAGGGGAUUGCGUCUGAUUAGCUAGUUGGAGGGGUAACGGCCCACCAAGGCGAUGAUCAGUAGCCGGUCUGAGAGGAUGAACGGCCACAUUGGGACUGAGACACGGCCCAGACUCCUACGGGAGGCAGCAGUGGGGAAUCUUCCGCAAUGGACGAAAGUCUGACGGAGCAACGCCGCGUGAGUGAUGACGGCCUUCGGGUUGUAAAGCUCUGUUAAUCGGGACGAUGAGGCCUUCUUGCGAGU
rnacentral:rRNA from 1 species